rnacentral:rRNA from 1 species
UGGGGAAUAUUGCACAAUGGGCGAAAGCCUGAUGCAGCGACGCCGCGUGAGGGAUGACGGCCUUCGGGUUGUAAACCUCUUUCAGCAGGGACGAAGCGCAAGUUACGGUACCUGCAGAAGAAGCACCGGCUAACUACGUGCCAGCAGCCGCGGUAAUACGUAGGGUGCAAGCGUUGUCCGGAAUUACUGGGCGUAAAGAGUUCGUAGGCGGUUUGUCGCGUCGUUUGUGAAAACCAGCAGCUCAACUGCUGGCUUGCAGGCGAUACGGGCAGACUUGAGUACUGCAGGGGAGACUGGAAUUCCUGGUGUAGCGGUGAAAUGCGCAGAUAUCAGGAGGAACACCGGUGGCGAAGGCGGGUCUCUGGGCAGUAACUGACGCUGAGGAACGAAAGCGUGGGUAGCGAACAGG